rnacentral:rRNA from 1 species
AUGGACGCCGCAAUCGUCGUCGAGUUCUUCUCUGCUGGCCCCUCCGACUUCUCUGACAUGGCGUACAGCUCGUGCAGGUUCCUCGUCUACGCAUGCCGGGUGCUGGCAACACCGAUGCAUGCCUUCAUCCACGACGUGUCCUCGGGCCUGGCAAGCCUGGUCGGCGCUUCGUCAACUUCUUUUUCGUCCGUCUACGCAUGCCCGGUGCUGACAACACCGGUGCGUGCCUUCGUCCACGAUGUGUCCCCGGACUUGGCAAACCUGCCACGACGCGUCGUCAACAACAUUUUCUUCCCGACGCACCCCUACUUCGGCACCACUGCGCCCAUGCUAACUCGGUGCCCCCUUGCGCCCGCGGCUCCACGGCGACUUCCUCGACACCGGCAACCCCGACUCGACAUCGACCACGGCAUUCUUCGCACGGCUACCUCGAUCACGGCUCCACCACCAUAUGCUCUCGGCUACAUCGACAUCGGCACAAAGGGUUAUCAUCCGCUUGAGCAACUCGUCGGAUUCCUCUACAGUCAACGCGCCCGCGACGCGACACCGUCCACGACGCUCCCGCUAGGACUGUGGGGGGAUGUCAGCCUGUCGGCUGCUAUUCUCUCCAGUCUGACCGUCCGCGACGCUCCUGUUGUCUGCGACGCUACCGCUACGACUGCGAGGGGAUGUUAG